GUGUCCAGGGAUGGGAAUCGAACCCACAGUGUUCCGCUUACCGGGCAGAUGCCAUGUCCAGUAGGCUACCGAAAA